AUUGAACGCUGGCGGCAGGCCUAACACAUGCAAGUCGAGCGCGCGGCGGACGGGUGAGUAAUGUAUGGGGACUGCCCGAUAGAGGGGGAUAACUACUGGAAACGGUCGCUUAUACCGCAUACUAUCGGAUAACCCAUAUGGGAUUAGCGAGUGGGGGGGGUAAAGGCUCACCUAGGCGACGAUCUCUAGCUGGUCUGAGAGGGUGAUAGGCCACACUGGAACUGAGACACGGCCCAGACUCCGACGGAGGCAGCAGGGGGGAAUAUUGCACAAUGGGCGCAAGCCUGAUGCAGCCAUGCCGCGUGUAUGAAGAAGGCCUUAGGGUUGAAAAGUACUUUCAGCGGGGAGGCGUUACCCGCAGAAGAAGCACCGGCUAACUCCGUGCCAGCAGCCGCGGUAAUUC
rnacentral:rRNA from 1 species